GACGAACGCUGGCGGCGUGCCUAAUACAUGCAAGUAGAACGCUGAAGGAGGAGCUUGCUUCUCUGGAUGAGUUGCGAACGGGUGAGUAACGCGUAGGUAACCUGCCUGGUAGCGGGGGAUAACUAUUGGAAACGAUAGCUAAUACCGCAUAAUAGUAGAUGUUGCAUGACAUUUGCUUAAAAGGUGCAAUUGCAUCACUACCAGAUGGACCUGCGUUGUAUUAGCUAGUUGGUGAGGUAACGGCUCACCAAGGCAACGAUACAUAGCCGACCUGAGAGGGUGAUCGGCCACACUGGGACUGAGACACGGCCCAGACUCCUACGGGAGGCAGCAGUAGGGAAUCGUCGGCAAUGGACGGAAGUCUGACCGAGCAACGCCGCGUGAGUGAAGAAGGUUGUCGGAUCGUAAAGCUCUGUUGUAAGAGAAGAACGAGUGUGAGAGUGGAAAGUUCACACUGUGACGGUAUCUUACCAGAAAGGGACGGCUAACUACGUG
rnacentral:rRNA from 1 species